GCACAUACGAAGAAGAGAGAUCACAUUGAUUUGCCCUGCAGUUGGAGAGUCUCCUCCAGGAUCCUGACCCUCAAAUCAGAGACUUCUGUUAGGGAGAGAAUGGACCUGACCUUCUACUAAGAUGUGUCGCACAGAACUCUCAACUUCUCCAGCACCGAGUCUGCCUGCCUACUGCCGAGAUCUCCGCUAUGACAGGAGUGGACUGAACCUCUGAAACUAGGACAUUGGAAACCUCUUCAGCUUUUCCACAUGGACCUCAAACCAGUGACUUCCCAGGGAGAUUUCAGGCCUCCAGGGUUGGACCAGAACUGUAGAAGCUUUCAGCUUCGCACACCGCGAAGCUACUGUGUUCUCUGCCUCUCUAGCACACGGAUGACCAUCAUGAAGGUGUGCUGCAUCGUCGGGGACAUCAAUAGGAAGAUUCAAAAGGACGAAGCUUGCUCACCUGGACUCCAUAAAGUUUGAGGCAGGGUCUUUGCACGGCGCCGGCAGUAGUUCCCAACGACCUGUCAUCUGAUCGUCCGCUGCAACAUUCGCCACACUCGGGCCUGGGUUUGCCAUGCUAGAGCCUGACAGAGCCCCUUCAGUUGUUCAACUGGCUCUUCUAUGGGGGCACAGCUCAGUGGCAGUGCGUGUGCCCUCCACACACAGAACGCUCAGUGUGAACCCCACCACUGCAAAUAUCUCUUUAAGAUCUUGCUUUUGAUGCUGUACACAUCCUUAGACGUGAGAUUGUCGAAUUGUAUGAUAGUUAAAAUUUUGCUUUGAGGGGUUGGGGAUUUGGCUCAGUGGUAGAGCGCUUGCCUAGCAAGCGCAAGGCCCUGGGUUCGGUCCCCAGCUCAAAAAAAAAUUUUUUUUUUCUUUGAGCAAUCACUACCCGGUUGCCAUUUGGUAGUUUUAUUAAUUUCUCCCUUCAGGCUCCAGGAAGAUCUUCUUUGUUUGUCUAUUUGUGCUGAUAUAACAAAAUGCCGGAGAUAAUGUAAUUAGAAAUAGACAGACAGAAGUUUGGGACAGAUGGCCCAGUGGUUAGGUGUACUUACUACUUCUGUAGAGGACCCAGCUUCAGUUCCCAGACCCCUAAUGAUGCUCCUAACCAUCUGUAAUUCUAAUUCUAGGAUAUCCAACACCGUCUUCUGGCCCCUUUCAGACACAGGCACACUCGUGGUUGUGCACACAUAGUGUGGGCAAACACUGAUGAAGUGGAAAUUUCUGGUUUCUUUGGAAACUCAGUUCUGACUCCCCCUCACACAGACACACAUAGAGGCAAAAGACCGAUGCACAUUAAAUAAAACUACGUUAUAUAGAAAAGAAAAUACACAAAAUAAGAGCACUUAAGAUUUGCGAGAUGGGGGCUGGAGAGGUGACUAAGAGGUUAAGAGCACUGGCUGCUCUUCCAAGGGUCUCAAUUCCCAGCAACCACAUGGUGGCUCAUAACCAUCUAUAAUGAGAUCUGGUGCCCUCUUCUGGCCUGCAGGCAUACAUGCAGGCGAAAAGCUGUAUAUAUAAUAAAUAAACCAAUCUUUUAAAAAAAAUUGUGAGAUACAAAGGAUUCAGUAUCUCUAUACAUGAUACUUCAGAACGUUUCUGGAGAACUAAGGAAUAUCAUGAUACUAGCUGCUUGCUUCUAGCCACAUAGCAGCUGAGCGGUGAGAAUUUUAGGUGUCAUGUGCUUUCUGUCCUAUUGUCUGAAUAUGAUUGGGCACAUAUAUACACAUAUAAGAAGCACACAUCCUUUGCCUUCCUACUCCUUUAUCAUGUAACAUGAUCUCAGGUGGGUUGAUAUCAGUACUAACUCAGCUGGUCUAGGGUUAGCCAGCUGCCCUGUCUCAUACUUGUGAUCUCAAGUGCUCGAGACUGUAAGAGAAAUGAACAGGCAAGGCCUGGUGGCACGUGCCUGCGAUCUGAGGGGCAAAAGGUUUAAGGCUAACCUGAGCUACGGAAGGAGCCCUGUCUCAGAAACAGCCACAGGCUGGGUAGUGUGGCACAGAGGUUAGAGGAUCUUCAGUUCCGACCAGCCUACACAGUGAGUCUGAACACAGCUGCCUUACAGAGGGAAGCCUUGACUGGGCCGGGGCAUGCUGUAAGUCCUGGGCAGCAUCGUGAGGUCUUAUCUCAUAUGUGAAGGAGCCCAGCAUAGUGCACAUGCCUUGGAUCCAGCAUUCAGGGCCCAGAGGUAGGCAGAUCUCUGAGGUCCAGGUCAACCAUGGACCCAUAGUGAGACCUCAUCAUAAAUAAAAACAAACAAAAAAUCACACAAAUAAAUAAGUCAGAUAUGGGUAUGGCCCAGGAGGGGAAGGCAAGAGGAAGACCACAAGGCUAAGGCCAGCCUGGGCAGCAUGAGACCCUGUCUUAAAAAAACAAAAAACCCCAACAACAACAACAACAAAUAAAUAAAUGAAAAACAUCAAACUGGGAAAAUUUGCAUGUGUACAUUUUGUCACAGUUUUUUUUUCUUUUUCUUUUUUCUUUUUUUCGGAGCUGGGGACCGAACCCAGGACCUUGCACUUGCUAGGCAAGUGCUCUACCACUGAGCUAAAUCCCCAACCCCUUGUCACAGUUUUUUUGAAAUGCUACUUAGUACAAAAGAAAAGGCAGGAGUCCUAUCUCAACAAAACAAAAAGAAGGCUGCAUCUGGCAGAAAAUUAAAUAAAUCAAAAGGAGGAGGAGGAGGAGGAGAGGGGAGGAGAGGGGAGGAGGAGGAGGAAAAGAGGAAGAGGAGAGGGGAGGAGGAGGAAGAGGAGGAGGAGAGGAAGAGGAGAGGAAGAAGAAGAGGAAGAAGAAGAAGAAGAAGGAGAAGGAGAAGGAGAAGGAGAAGGAGAAGAAGAAGAAGAAGAAGAAGAAGAAGAAGAAGAAGAAGAAGAAGAAGAAGAAGAAGAAGAAGAAAGAAGAAGAAAGAAGAAGAGAAAAGAAGCCAGGUACAGUAGUCACAUCUAUAAUCCCAGUACUUGGGAGAAAGAAAUCUCUGUAGUUCCAGGGUAGCCUGGUUGACAUAGUGGAUUCCAGGGCAGCCAGAAUUACACAGUAAGACUCAAAGAAACAAAAACAAACCAAUAAACCACACCACACACACACACACACACACACACACACACAAACAAAUCGAUCACACAAAAGAAAAGAAUUGACAGGGGUUGGGGAUUUGAGCGCUUGCCUAGGAAGUGCAAAGUCCUGAGUUCGGUCCCCAGCCCUGGGGAAAAAAAAGAAAAAAAAAGAAAAAGAAAAAGAAAAGAAUUGACACUUUCCUCUGCCUAACAAGGAUUUCUGGACAAGAGCUUCCAGAUUAGAUAGUCUGGUAGACCGUAUGACAUGCUGACUGGGCUGGGUGUGGUAAUCACACCCUUGGGAGUAUUCCCUAAAUGCUUGCUUGCUUGCUCUCUCUCUCUCUCUCUCUCUCUCUCUCUCUCUCUCUCUCUCUCUCUCUCCCUUCCUUCCUUCCUUUCUUUCUUUCCUUUCUUUUUUGAGACAGUGUCUCACUGUGUACCCGUCUGUCCUCAAACUCACUCUACUCACUCUGUAGACCAGGCUGACCUGAGACUCACCAAGAUCCACCUGCCUCUGCCUCCCAAGUCCUGGAACCGAGGGCUCACAACAGGAUGCUAGGGUUUUUUUUUUUUUUUUUUUUUUUUUUUUUUGUUCUUUUUUUCGGAGCUGGGGACCAAACCCAGGGCCUUGCGCUUCCUAGGCAAGCGCUCUACCAGUGAGCUAAAUCCCCAACCCCUGUGUGUUUGUUUUUGUUUUCGAAACAGGAUUUCUCUGUGUAGCCUUGGCUGUCCUAGAAUUCGCUCUGUAGACCAGGUUAACCUCAAACUCAGAUCUGCCUGUCUCUGACUCCUGAGUGUGGGGUUAAAGGCGUGUGCCACCACAGCCUGGCUUCCUUUGUAUUUUUUUUUCUUUUUUUUUUUUCCGGAGCUGGGGACCGAACCCAGGGACUUGCGCUUGCUAGGCAAGCGCUCUACCACUGAGCUAAAUUCCCAACCCCUUCCUUUGUGUUUUUGAGACAGGGUCUUAUGUAGCCUAGACUGGCAUUGAUCUUACUAUAUGGCCGAGAAUGAUCUUAAGCUCCUGAUCUUUCUGCCUCCAUAUCCCAUGAGCUGGGAUUGUAGGCAAAUGCUAUAAACCCUUUGUUCUUUUAUCCACCCGUCCAUUCUUUUCUCCUGUCCCCACUUUUUCCCCCUCCAUUUCUUUUUUUUUGUUUUUUAAGAUUCAUUUAUGUUACAUAUUGUAAUAUGUUACUGUUGAUCUCUUCGAAGAGGGCAUCAAUCCCAUUACAGAAGGUCGUGAGCCACCAUGUGGUUGCUAGGAUUUGAACUCAGGACCUCUGGAAGAGCAGUCAGUGCUCUUAACCGCUGAGCCAUCUCUCCAGCCCUUCCCCUCUAUUUCAUUAGACUGGGUCUCCUGGUGUUGUUAGACCAGUUUCAUGGGCUCCAGUGACCGUCCUGCCCCAGCCUCUUCUUUCCUCACUGACUUUACAGGCAGGCCUUACUGUACAAGACCGCAGGCAAAAAUCUCUCCCAGUGCUAGGUGACUAAUUACAUACUGGUGACCAGAGGACUGGGGAGCUGGCCACCUCCCUCAUAAUCAGCAGCUUGCAAAAUCAAUGACUGAAAUCGCAGGACUCUAAUUACUAGCCAGAAGAAUGAGACCUGAGUCAUGGCUCUGGCCCCAACAGACUGAACUGCUUUGAGCUGAUCACUACCUAGGUCACUUCCAGGACCCUAAACCUCAUUAUCUGCAGGAAACUUUUCUGAAAAAGAACAAAGACAGGCAACCGCUGUGUCGUCCUGCAAGGGUCAAGCUGAGCAGGCUUGCCGGCUACUUGGACAGGACAAGGUCCCUCAGAAAAGGUGUUUGUUACAGAGACUUGAGAAGGGUAGAGCCUGCCUGAAAUGCAGAUGCAGCAAUAGUCCCCUUAAGUCAUUGCCUACUCCCAGCCUCCAGAGUGGGCUCACUUCUCUGUGGUCAUGCCUGCUUAUCUUCCACCCCCCACCCUGUGUGUCUCAUCAGAAUUCCUUUCACCAGAGAUCACCAGGACCCUGAAGCUAAGGAAAUCCAAAGAGAGAGAGCCAGCGACAGCUGAACUCUCAGGCCAGGGUGAUGACUAAGGGCCUCAGCAAGGAAAGCCACACACCCACAACCAGUGUCACAUAGACGGAGGCCAUCCAAGUGAGGCAAACAAGACUGUGUACCAAGCUGUGACAGCAAGGGGCACUCCACUACUUGCCAGAGAGGAGAGUGAGGCAGCCAAGUGGGGAAGCCCCACAGAAAUGAGGAGCUCUACUCUCCCAAUAGCCCAAAGAAACCAUUGAGCUGACUAGAAACCAGGCAUUUAUUUAGGUGAGUGAAUAAGGCUUUCUUAAAACCAGGAACAAACAAUAGGGGAGUAACCAGAUAACGAUCAAGUUCUAGGCAUUUGGAUCUGAUAUACAAAUUCUUGGGCUUCCCAGAAUAUCUCUUGAUAAAACAGCUGGUACCCUGUCUCAAAAAACAAAACAGAGGUAGCACGUGCCUUUAAUCCCAGCAAAGGCAGCAGAUCUUUGCAUUUGAGACCAGCUUAGCCUACAGAGUGAGUUUUAGGACAGCCAGGGCUACACAGAGACACCCUAUCUCAAACAAAACAACAGAACAGAACCCAAUAAGAAACCCAAAACAAGGGCUGGGGAUUUAGCUCAGUGGUAGAGCGCUUACCUAGGAAGCGCAAAGCCCUGGGUUCGGUCCCCAGCUCCGAAAAAAAAAGAACCAAAAAAAAAAAAAGAAACCCAAAACAAA